rnacentral:rRNA from 1 species
AUGUAUCAAAACCGAAAAGUAGUCUUCUGGAACGUGCGUGGUCUUAAUAAUGGGGCCAAACGCACGGUGGUCCAUUCAGUUAUCUCUGCUGCUUCUCCAUGCAUUGUUUGUCUUCAAGAAACGAAGCUCUCCAUUGUUACUCCUCAAAUUGUUGCCGAGACUUUGGGUGGGGCCUUCCGAGACUUAUACUUCCUCCCUACUGAUGGCACCCAGGGUGGCAUCCUU